CUCACAGCAACUCUCUGAAGUAAGUGCUAUUGUUAUUCCUCCUUUAAAAUAAAUAAGUAAGUAAAUGAAGGUAAAUUGCCUUGGAAAUGUUAUGGUCAAGUCAACAACAUUUGUUAAGCAUUUGUAAUGUUUCAGGCUCAGUAUAAGGUGUUGUAGUUAUAAAGAAUUAAAAAAAAUAGUUCUUGCUAUCAGGGAACUCAGUAUAAAUGGGGGUGGCAAUAUGGAAACAUACACAUAUACCAAAUGUAUCCAGGGUAACUUGGAAGUAAUCUCAGAGGGAAGGCACUAUUAUUGGGAGGGAUUAGGGAAUGACUGCUUGGAGUAAGUAGGAUAUAAACUGAGCAUUAAAGGAAACCAGGAAAGCCAGUGGGCAAAGAUAAGGACAAAAGUACUCCAGUCAUGUGAAAAGGACAGUUGGGAUAUGUAAUGUGUGCAAAGAAUAACAAGAAGGUCAUUAUUACUGAAUCACUGAAUACACGGAGAAGAGUGAAUUGUCAGAAGACUGGAAAGAUAACCUGUGAGACUUUAAAAUUUGGCUCCAUUCAAGAACUCAGAAUCCUGAAAUUUUUUUUCACUAUCAUCAUCCAAGGAAUACUUUGCAGAAACUACUUCCCUUUUCAAGAGUGUUUCCAAGACACAGGUAUAGUUUAUAUCAUUCUUUCAAUCUCCAUGAAACUGAAAUUAAUGUAUAAAGGAUAAAUAACCAGAA
rnacentral:lncRNA from 1 species